AUGGCUCAUUGUGUGGGUUAUCGUUUAUUUGAUAGUACCUUACUACAUGGAUACCUGUGGUAAUUCUAGAGCUAAUACAUGCUAAAAACCUCGACUUCGGAAGGGGUGUAUUUAUUAGAUAAAAAACCAAUGCCCUUCGGGGCUCCUUGGUGAUUCAUAAUAACUUAACGAAUCGCAUGGCCUUGCGCCGGCGAUGGUUCAUUCAAAUUUCUGCCCUAUCAACUUUCGAUGGUAGGAUAGUGGCCUACCAUGGUGGCAACGGGUAACGGGGAAUUAGGGUUCGAUUCCGGAGAGGGAGCCUGAGAAACGGCUACCACAUCCAAGGAAGGCAGCAGGCGCGCAAAUUACCCAAUCCCGACACGGGGAGGUAGUGACAAUAAAUACUGAUACGGGGCUCUUUUGGGUCUCGUAAUUGGAAUGAGUACAAUCUAAAUCCCUUAACGAGGAACAAUUGGAGGGCAAGUCUGGUGCCAGCAGCCGCGGUAAUUCCAGCUCCAAUAGCGUAUAUUAAAGUUGUUGCAGUUAAAAAGCUCGUAGUUGAACCUUGGGUCUGGCUGGCCGGUCCGCCUCACCGCGAGUACUGGUCCGGCUGGACCUUUCCUUCUGGGGAACCUCAUGGCCUUCACUGGCUGUGGGGGGAACCAGGACUUUUACUGUGAAAAAAUUAGAGUGUUCAAAGCAGGCCUUUGCUCGAAUACAUUAGCAUGGAAUAAUAGAAUAGGACGUGCGGUUCUAUUUUGUUGGUUUCUAGGACCGCCGUAAUGAUUAAUAGGGAUAGUCGGGGGCGUCAGUAUUCAGCUGUCAGAGGUGAAAUUCUUGGAUUUGCUGAAGACUAACUACUGCGAAAGCAUUCGCCAAGGAUGUUUUCAUUAAUCAGGGAACGAAAGUUAGGGGAUCGAAGACGAUCAGAUACCGUCGUAGUCUUAACCAUAAACUAUGCCGACUAGGGAUCGGGCGGUGUUUCUAUGAUGACCCGCUCGGCACCUUACGAGAAAUCAAAGUUUUUGGGUUCUGGGGGGAGUAUGGUCGCAAGGCUGAAACUUAAAGAAAUUGACGGAAGGGCACCACAAGGCGUGGAGCCUGCGGCUUAAUUUGACUCAACACGGGGAAACUCACCAGGUCCAGACAAAAUAAGGAUUGACAGAUUGAGAGCUCUUUCUUGAUCUUUUGGAUGGUGGUGCAUGGCCGUUCUUAGUUGGUGGAGUGAUUUGUCUGCUUAAUUGCGAUAACGAACGAGACCUCGGCCCUUAAAUAGCCCAUUUACGCGUUUCCGG
rnacentral:rRNA from 1 species